AGAGUUUGAUCCUGGCUCAGAAUGAACGCUGGCGGAGUGCUUAAUACAUGCAAGUCGUGCGAGAAAAUUUCUUCGGAAAUGAGUAGAGCGGCGAACGGGUGAGUAACACGUAAAUAACCUGCCUUCAAAUCUGGGACAACACUGCUAACGCGGUGCUAAUACCGGAUGUGACCUUUAAAUCUCCUGGUUAAAAAGUUAAAGGUGACCUCUCCUUGGAAGUUACUGUUUGAAGAUGGAUUUGCGUACUAUUAGUUAGUUGGUAAGGUAACGGCUUACCAAGACGAUGAUAGUUAGCCGACCUGAGAGGGUGAUCGGCCACACUGGGACUGAGACACGGCCCAGACUCCUACGGGAGGCAGCAGUAGGAAAUCUUGCGCAAUGGACGAAAGUCUGACGCAGCAACUCCGCGUGAGGAUGAAUGUCUUCGGAUUGUAAACUCCUUUUAUAUAGGAAGAAUGGCUCUUGUGCUAAUCAGCAAGAGAUUGACGGUACUAUAUGAAUAAGUCACGGCUAAAUACGUGCCAGCAGCCGCGGUAAUACGUAUGUGGCGAGCGUUAUUCGGAAUCACUGGGCGUAAAGAGUACGUAGGCUGGUGAAUAAGUCAGAGGUGAAAGUUUGGGGCUCAACCCCGAAUCUGCCUUUGAAACUGUUUACCUUGAAUAUGCGAGGGGGAGACGGAAUUUCUGGUGUAGCGGUGAAAUGCGUAGAUAUCAGAAAGAACACCGGUGGCGAAGGCGGUCUUCUGGCGCAAUAUUGACGCUGAGGUACGAAAGCGUGGGGAGCGAACAGGAUUAGAUACCCUGGUAGUCCACGCCGUAAACGAUGGACACUAGUUGGUGGGAGGCUUGACUUUUCACUGACGUAGCUAACGCAUUAAGUGUCCCGCCUGGGGAGUACGUCCGCAAGGAUGAAACCCAAAGGAAUUGACGGGGGCCCGCACAAGCGGUGGAGCAUGUGCUUUAAUUCGAUGCAACGCGAAGAACCUUACCUGGCCUUGACAUACCAUUGAUCGCUCUAGAGAUAGAGUUUUUUCUUCGGAAACAGUGGAUACAGGUGCUGCAUGGUUGUCGUCAGCUCGUGUCGUGAGAUGUUGGGUUAAGUCCCGCAACGAGCGCAACCCAUGUCCUUAGUUGCUAACAGGUUAUGCUGAGAACUCUAGGGAGACUGCCGUCGUAAGGCGGAGGAAGGUGUGGAUGACGUCAAAUCAUCAUGGCCCUUACGGCCAGGGCUAGACACGUGCUACAAUGGACGGUACAAAGGGUUGCUACUUAGUGAUAAGAUGCUAAUCUCAAAAAACCGUCCUCAGUUCGGAUAGGAGUCUGCAACUCGACUCCUUGAAGUUGGAAUCGCUAGUAAUCGUGGGUCAGCAUACCACGGUGAAUACGUUCCUGGGCCUUGUACACACCGCCCGUCAAGCCACGGAAGUUGGUGGUGCCCGACAUUGUAUCCUUAACCUUCGGGGUGGGAGCAACUAAGGCGACACUGAUAACUGGGGCUAAGUCGGAACAAGGUA
rnacentral:rRNA from 1 species